rnacentral:rRNA from 1 species
CCUACGGGCGGCAGCAGUGAGGAAUAUUGGUCAAUGGGCGCGAGCCUGAACCAGCCAAGUAGCGUGAAGGAUGACUGCCCUACGGGUUGUAAACUUCUUUUAUAAAGGAAUAAAGUGAGGCACGUGUGCCUUUUGAUAUGUACUUUAUGUAUAAGGAUCGGCUAACUCCGUGCCAGCAGCCGCGGUAAUACGGAGGAUCCGAGCGUUGUCCGGAUUUAUUGGGGUUAAAGGGAGCGUAGAUGGGAUGUUAAGUCAGUUGUGAUCGUUUGCGGCUCAACCGUAAAAUUGCAAUUGAUACUGGCAGCCUUGAGUACAGUUGAGGUAGGCGGAAUUCGUGGUGUAGCGGUGGAAUGCUUAGAUAUCACGAAGAACUCCGAUUGCGAAGGCAGCCUACUAAACUGCCACUGACAUUGAUGCUCGAAAGUGUGGGUAUCAAACAGGAUUAGAUACCCUAGUAGUC